UUAGGGGCCAGUUGUCACCUAUGGUUAUGUGACGUUAUGGGCUAGUUUCAAACUAUUUUUUAAACUGAUUUUCAGAGCAACAUGUAAUUAGUUUCCAAUUCUGUUCCAAGACAUGAAGGAAAAUUGACUUCCCCUUCCCAAGCCGUCACCAAACCAAAGCAUAAAAUAAAGUGCUGUGGCUUUGAACGUGGAGUUGAGUGUUUCCACCGUAUUCUUCAGUGAGAGUUCAUGAGGGCACAGACCACUAACAAGCAGCGGAGGCAGCUUCUAGGCUAAGCUUAAAUUGGGCCUUCAAAUCUAAUCAAAAUUAGUCCCUGCUGAGAAGAAACCCAAUGUGGUGUGUCCGUUUGGAUCUGGAGUGCGGAGAGGCCCUCCUUGCUUUCCAGGGCCGUGAGCAGCAGGAAGCAUGUCAACCAUGGUAAACCAGAGGAUCGAGAAAUCAAAGAUUCCAGUCACUUGCCUGGAGUUUGAGAACUUCUUCCGGAAAAACUCUGUAUGUGAAACCAACACUGUGUAAUCAACAGUUGUGUGAAGAGGUCUGGGAGCAGACCAUAGGAGAGCAGCCUCUGUUCUGCAUGCAGAGGAGAACACAGAGGCCGAACCAUGCAUGUUGGUGCUUGACUUGGUGUGCAGAGCACCCGGGACAUCUGGGAUUUGCUCCCUCAAAUCUCCAGCUUCCAUGGCCCUCUGAUGAAGAAAGGAGAGAGCAGAAAAAAAAAAUGAGGGAGGAGGACAGAGAAAAAUUCCGGUCUGGCUUCAGUACAUUGAAUUCUAGCUGUCUGGGGCAUUCUCCCAAAUAGCGAAUGCUAAUUAUACGGAGUGUGUCAAAUUGUGUCGUAUUUUAGUGAAUCAAACAAAUGUUCCCAGGAGAUAGGCGGGAGGCCACCAAGCCCUGUUCAUUUAUGAUGCGACCUGAAUUUAAAGCCAGGACUCUGGAGGGGAUAGGUGACUGUGAGUUUAUUUAAUCUCGUGACAUAUGCCUUGCACCUUCAAUGUCACCCUGACAUAAGGACUGCAGGUUUCACAUGAUGCUUUUAUUUAAGCAGUUAAAAUGCGACUAGGGAUGGCUGAAGCACUUUUAGAGACACUGAGGAUAAACACAUUGUUUUGAGGGCCAUAGAUUGUAGGACUUUUCUUCGGGAAAGGAGAAAUAGAUCAUAGUGCCAGAUCGGUCUUCCUGAAACACCUCCGAGCACGUUUCCCCCUGUUCUUCAAACCCUCCAUGCCUUGCCCUUGUUUACUAAAUGAUGCCUAAACGCCACAGAGGCAAAGCGUUCCCAGCCCGGUGCUCACUGUCGCCUGCAUCUCACAUGCCGACCAGAUGGGACUCUGCCACGUUUCAUGGAUGGAUGUCAUGGAUCUGACUCUCCCAGUCUUUGCUGACGCCUGUCAUUCCUGAUUCCUGGGAGGCCCUCAGGGACUCUCUUCCCUAAAACCUCUCUCUUAAUCAUUGAAAUCCUGCUCACCACUAAAGGACCAGUAUAAAUACCCCCUUCUUCCAAGGGUUCACCCUAUUUCUUCUCUGUCUCCAGCUAGAAAUAAUUUUUCAUUUUUCUUCACGUUGUAUUUUUUAAUGGCACAUGAAUACUGCUUUGGCUGAUACGUAUAUCUGUAUGCAGCAUCUUUUCUACAAGACUACAGGCUCCCAGGUGUUGGGGAUUAGAUAAUCUGCAUCUGCCUCAGAUUUGCACAGUGUCGUGUACAGACUAUGUGGUCAUAAAUAUUUUUUGAGCAAAUGAAUGACAUAAAACAUACAGACUCUCUUGCUGUAGUAAUUUCAGUGGUUGU